CAGCCGCCGCGGUAAAACAGAGGGUGCGAGCGUUAAUCGGAUUUACUGGGCGUAAAGCGUGCGUAGGCGGCUAAUUGAGUCGGAUGUGAAAUCCCCGAGCUUAACUUGGGAAUUGCAUUCGAUACUGGUUAGCUAGAGUGUGGGAGAGGAUGGUAGAAUUCCAGGUGUAGCGGUGAAAUGCGUAGAGAUCUGGAGGAAUACCGAUGGCGAAGGCAGCCAUCUGGCCUAACACUGACGCUGAGGUACGAAAGCAUGGGGAGCAAACAGGAUUAGAUACCCCGGUAGUCCCUGUCUCUUAUAC
rnacentral:rRNA from 1 species